GAAUUGUGAACUCAACUUCUCUUUAUAGCUAAAUCGAGAAAUUCUAUUCCCACUAUAAUACUUUCACAAAUACUCAAUUUUUUAAUUGAAAAUUCAAUGUUUUUACGCAUCAAGCCCACAUAUAUUUUCUGCCAAUCUGAAAUUCUCUUAGACGGUCACGAAUUACUUUCAUUUCUCCUUUCCAAUCACAUCGACCCCGAAAUUCUUUUUAUCGAAAUUCGAUUCGAUAUAAUGAAGUUCAGUAAUUGCAACCAUA
rnacentral:lncRNA from 1 species